rnacentral:misc_RNA from 1 species
CGCAAACUUCAUGGUCCUGCAAUAUAGUCCCUAGUCUAGCUAAUAUAAAGUAAUUUGCACACAUUGUAUUAGUUGUACAACAGCUGUUAUUUGGAUUCCUGAUUGUGUAAAAUAACUUAAUAGCUUAGGAUUCCUUAAUUACAAGCUUUGUUGAAGAGAAAACUGCAAGAGUAAUUAGACCAGGUUUUGGCCAUAGGAACAUACCCUCAUCAUCACUAUUUGAUGAAUAAUUAUUAUAUGGUUUUGGCCAACCAG